rnacentral:rRNA from 1 species
AUUGAACGCUGGCGGCAUGCCUUACACAUGCCAGUCGAACGGUAACGGGCCUUCGGGUGCCGUCGAGUGGCGAACGGGUGCGUAAUACAUCGGAACGUGCCCGAUCGUGGGGGAUAACGAGGCGAAAGCUUUGCUAAUACCGCAUACGAUCUACGGAUGAAAGCCGGGGACCGCAAGGCCUUGCGCGGACGGAGCGGCCGAUGGCAGCUUAGGUAGUUGGUGGGAUAAAAGCUUACCAAGCCGACGAUCUGUAGCUGGUCUGAGAGGAUGAUCAGCCACACUGGGACUGAGACACGGCCCAGACUCCUACGGGAGGCAGCAGUGGGGAAUUUUGGACAAUGGGCGCAAGCCUGAUCCAGCCAUGCCGCGUGAAGGAUGAAGGCCUUCGGGUUGUAAACUGCUUUUGUACGGAACGAAAAGCCUUCUUUUAAUACAGGAGGGUCAUGACGGUACCGUAAGAAUAAGCACCGGCUAACUACGUG